AAGGAGCACCACGAAAAGCAUCCCAACAAGUGGGGUGCAAGCCGUGAGGGGUUCUCGUCUGUAGUGGACGAAAGCCGGGUGCACGACAACAAGCAAAGCCAGACACACUAUUGGGUCCUGAGGCAACACUCGGGCUCUGUUCGAGAGUUGUCCCACCAUCUUGGUGGUGGGGUGUGGUGUUUGAGAAUUGGAUAGUGGUUGCGAGCAUC
rnacentral:misc_RNA from 1 species